GGCUGGUCCUAAGGUAGUGAGUUAUCUCACUUGAUUGUUCACAGUCAGUUACAGAUUGAACUCCUUGUUUUACUACUCCCCCCCUCCUCACUACUGCACUUGACUAGUCUUAA
rnacentral:Y_RNA from 1 species